AUUGAACGCUGGCGGCAGGCUUAACACAUGCAAGUCGAGCGGUGUGAGGUGCUUCGGUACUGAUCCUAGCGGCGGACGGGUGAGUAAUGCUUAGGAAUCUGCCUAUUAGUGGGGGACAACAUUCCGAAAGGAAUGCUAAUACCGCAUACGUCCUACGGGAGAAAGCAGGGGAUCUUCGGACCUUGCGCUAAUAGAUGAGCCUAAGUCGGAUUAGCUAGUUGGUGGGGUAAAGGCCUACCAAGGCGACGAUCUGUAGCGGGUCUGAGAGGAUGAUCCGCCACACUGGGACUGAGACACGGCCCAGACUCCUACGGGAGGCAGCAGUGGGGAAUAUUGGACAAUGGGCGGAAGCCUGAUCCAGCCAUGCCGCGUGUGUGAAGAAGGCCUUUUGGUUGUAAAGCACUUUAAGCGAGGAGGAGGCUACCUAGAUUAAUACUCUGAGAUAGUGGACGUUACUCGCAGAAUAAGCACCGGCUAACUCUGUGCCAGCCGCCGCAGUAAAAC
rnacentral:rRNA from 1 species